UAACCAUAUAAGUAGGCGGUGGAAAAUGAACCAAAUGGGAUUCCUUAAGUAAUUGCGAAUGAACAAGGAAAUGCUCAGCUUGAAAAAUGGGGCCUUUGGCUUUGAAUUGUAAUUUUGAAAUGUAUUGCCAAUGGAGGCGCAGGUGCAAGCCUAUUGAAAGAAAGCGUCAAUGAGGGUGAGAUUCCUUUUUGUCAUUUGCAGUCCUCCGUGCACGGUAUAUAUUUGACGAGUCACACUCCUCGGCAUUGGAAUGCAAAGUGGGUGGUAAAUUCCAUGUAAAGGUAAAUAUAUUAUUGAGACUGAUAGCAAACAAGUACCAUGAGGGAAAUAUGAAAAGGACUUUGAAAAGAGAAUUAAAAGAGUCUGCAUUUGCUGAACAGAAAGCAAACAGAAUUGAUUUUACUUGGUGAGAUUGUUGUGCUUACUCUAUCAUUUAUAUGGUUGAUGUGGGUGCGAUGGUUCUUACCUUGAAUGUCAGCUUCUAUUUCUGCAAAUCAUUACCCUUGCACAUGAAUGGUAAUUUGCCUGCGGGUAUUGGAAUGCAUGUGUUUGCAAUGAUUUGUGAUUUGACGCAUGUGUUUGGUGAAAUUUGUAUAUGCUCUUUUGUCGAAGGGGAAAGCUUACUUUUUUGAGCAUUGCAAGCCCUUACACAUCAGUGCUGGCAAAAUGUUUCUGCUUGACCCCUCUUGAAACACGG
rnacentral:rRNA from 1 species